rnacentral:rRNA from 1 species
GGAUUUUUUUCUAAACGGCCGCAGAAUUUUAACUGUGCUAAGGUAGCAUAAUCAUUUGUCUUUUAAUUGAAGACUGGUAUGAAUGGUUUCACGAAAUUAAGCUGUCUCUUCUAUAUUUAAUAUAAUUUAAUCUUAAAGUUAAAAAGCUUUAAUUAAAUAAAAAGACAAAAAGACCCCGUAGAGUUUUAUUUUCAUCAUUUAAAAAAAUUUAAUGAAAAUUUUGUUGGGGCAACUAAGAAAAAAUAAAUUUUUCUAAACAAACAAUAACUAUACACUAUCAUUUACUUAAUAAAACAAAAUAAAUUACCUCGGGGAUAACAGCGUAAUUUUCUUUGAGAGUCCAAAUCGAAAAGAAAAAUUAC